CUGCUGGAUGCGGCCAAGCCAAGCAUCCCUGUCCCUCCGCCUCCUCCCCACCUCAUCCUACCGUGCAAGGGAAGAACCUGCUAAGUGCUAACCUCACCUCAUGUGGAGCACCAAGUGAAGUGCAGCUGGAGCUCGAAGUGACGAAGGCAAUAAAAAUGUCCCUAGCUUCCUCUGUAUUGUCCUCGAUCGUUAUGAUCGACUGAUGGAAUAAAAUAAGAGCACUCUUUUUUAUAUUUCGUUCGCCUGCAACAAGUGUUCAAAUUGUGGAUUUGAAACUACUAAACCAGUUUCCAGACCUGCGAAAAAUUACUUGUCAAGUUUAUGAACUCUAGUAGUAGUGUGGGACUUCUACAUAAGUUGAAAAGGGAGAUACAUGGUCGAAGAAGCUUUUGUCAGCCCAACUGAAGCUGUGUCGUGCAAGAAACAGAGGAGAAAUCGUAUGCCAAUACUAGUGCGCAGUGCCAACCGUCGAGCAGGUAGCGUGCCUUCAGCAAACGGCAACGCGGCCUGCGGCCUGCCUGCCUGACAACCGGAGACAGAACGGAGGUUCGUCCGGACCUGGAAUGGAAAGGUCAAGCGGUUGCUCUGUUCCACUGCUAGACUGCAUGGGGAGGACCAGAGAAGCAGAGUAAACAAAUCAGGCAGAGACAGCCUGCGGGUGGUCUUCUGAUCGAAGCCGUCGUCGAGAAAAUUGCACAAACCAUCAAAUAUUUGGGGUCAAAUUUGCACAGAACAUGUAAUAAUCUGUUGUAGCUAGGUCUAAUACAUAAUUUGAUUCUGUCCACAUGGUCUCUAACACAUGGAUCCUGCUUGUGUACAUGUGGCAAAAAAAAAACAUGCAAAGUUAGUCGGCAUGGACCGAAAACAAGUCUAAUAUCUCUCAAAACUACGCUCAAAAUGAGUCACCAAAUCAAAACUUGGUUCACAUAUUAUUUAAUGGCUUUUUCUGUUUUUCUUGAAAACAUUGAAUACUGAACAAAAAUCAAUUGUGUCAGCAAACUGCCAAUAUCUCUAAAACACGUGAAAGUAAGCUAAAUAGUUAUCAAAUCAGUACUAGAUAUAUGUAUGAUUUCCUGGUUUUUGGAUUUGUUUUAAAUGUUAAGUUUAAAAUAAGUUGUAACGGGCGACUAAAAUUGCGGAUAUUAGCAGUUUUUCUUGGCCCGCUAAUGCCAUAUGGUUUUUCUUUAUUACGUCUGCCCUUACAAACAGAGUCCACUAAUUAGGAAUCAUGUUAAAAUAGUCAAAUGAUGCAUUGGAGCUUACUGCAACAGAUUACACCAAUGGGUGAUGUUUUGUGCAACAAACCUGGACGAUAGGUGUUCUACACAAAAUCAACUACAAUAGUUUGUGAUUCGUGCAAUUUCCUAGGUUGUCGUCUCCUUCCUUGUGACCCUCUAAGCUCCAUCCAUCAACUGUUCGUGAGAGAGGGAAAUUUCACCUUUCUCCCCAGCUUCCCGUGCGACUCCUCUCUUUUCCUGCAUGUCAAUUAACGACGGCCGUCCAUGUGACAAAUGCUCGUGGCCAUUUCUCGCCUGGUUUUCCCCAAAUUUUUCUUCUACUAUUAUGCGCCUGUUUUUCCGCCCCCUAUCACACACGGUUAUAAAAAGGACAUCGUCAUGUCUUCUGUAGCUAAUAUCCCACCGGCCACAACAUCCACUUCCCUCACUUCCGUCCACAACCUCUACUUCCUCCAUGCGGCCCAUAGCUUACACCUCCCCCAACGGCCUUACUAGGUGCCGCUCUUGAAGGAGAAGAGGCGCCGCCCUCGUCGGCGAUUUAGAGGAGUGAGAUUGUUGUUGUUGUUGUUGUUGUUGUUGUUGUUCAAAAGUAUAGUAUGCAUUAGGUGGGACAUUCACUAAAAACAGUGGAUGUCAGAUGCCUAACAUAGUUUCGAGAAUCGCUGUCGCCAGAAUCGGCACCUCGCCUCCCAAAUUAUCGUCAUCAUGGUUUUCCUCACACCAUCGUCGUGCUCAUGGUUGUCCUUGUCCCCGCCACGUCCAUGACCGACGGGGUCGAGCUCAUUCGCUGCCGCUUGUUGAUGAUGAAGCGAAGUAGAAGUUCAGAAAUUUGAGAAUUGGUAUGUAGCCAGUGACACAUGGAUCACAUAUGUAAGAAAAAUAUGAAAGCUGAGAUAUAGUGACUCUUGAUUUGCACUCGUUUGUCCAGCCUCCAAAAAUAUUGAACAUGCUUCAUACGCAAUAUAGCGAUCGGCAACUUUGUCAGAGUUGCUCUAACUUCCAGUUCAGUGAUGGCGGCCAAUGCAUAUACGGACGGACACACAGAGUGAUGUAGGUGAAUUUAGGGGCCUUGGCAUGGUCCCUUUGGUGUAUUAGAAAUAAGCUUGUCAUUGAGCACGUAUACCGGUCAUGGCCACUGGUGCUAUUUAUAAAUUGUGUGGGUUCUUGCAGUUAUGGAAACCACUCUAUAGUCGUCGGGAUAGAUCAGCGGUCGGCGAGCUGACCAGAAAGUACAAGGAGUUGGUGUCGUGUCUCCUCAUGGUCACCUAUCCCCCUUGAGGAUUGUAUCUUUUAUUUUGGGCGUGUUAUGUUGUUGCCCACAUCGUGAGCUUCUCUCUCUUUUGUAUCAUGACUUCUUUUAGACUUUCGUUUAUGGUUGGACUUGUAUCAUGGUUGUUGCUUUAUCAAUAAAGUGGGGCAAGGAGCCUUUUACGAGAAAAAACAAUAUGAAAACGUUACACGAUCAGACAAAACCUAAGAACAAAUCGAUGUGUUUCUUGUCCUCGGACAAAACAAAUGUUUUUUGACAGCAAUAUGACUUUAUUCUUCAUAUAUAAAGUGACAAAUUGUUUACAUGCAGAUGAUAAAUAAAAUGACACAUCCCAAAAGCCGGAGGAUCUACUUUUGUCCUUUUGCAUUUACAUUUUUUGUUUAUUUUUGUUUUGCAUUUUUAUGCUAUUUUUUGGCAAGAAAAGAACUGUUGAUAUUUAGCACAGGGUUCUUACAGAAAGGUCCUGAGACAAGAAAAAAUUACAUUGAAGCCCCCAGCACCCCGUUGACGAAGACGACGACAAAGACGUAUAGCCGGCGCGCCGUCGCUGCUGCUCCACACAAGCCUUGGAUUUGUUGUUGCUGUUGUUGUUGUUGUUGUUGUUGUUGUUGUUGCCCCAUCCUCCCGCUGCCGGAGCAGCUGCCAGAGGGUGAGGAACCCGCCGAUUUUGCGGCGGCGAGGUGGAUCGCCCGGCGUCACCCAAAAGUCGCCCUUUCUCUACAUGGACGGGGAAAGGGUAAGGCUCCAAGGUACAUUUUUAUGCUAUUGUUCUUUAGAAAAAAUAAUAGUUCCUUUUUACGAAUUUAAAAAUAUAUUUUAAAUGCAUGAACACUUUUAAAAAAUAUGUGAAAACUUUAGGGAAUGCGUGAGAACAUUUCAAGAUUACACCUACACCUUUUGAAUAUGUGAAACACUUUUGCUUUAAUUAUUUAGAUCUUUUUAAAAAAUGCAUGAAUAUAUAUUUUUAAACAAUCUGAACAUUUAAAAAAAUGUGUACUCUUUUAAGAUUAGACAGUACUUUAAAAAAAUACAUGAACACGUUUUCUAUUAUAUGAACGUUCCUAAAACCAAUUGAACACUUUUAUUAAGCGUGAACACUUGCUUGAACAGGGGCAAAAUAACUUGUGCGGCAAGGAGCAUCCGCACAUGCUGUUUUAGCACUCGCGUCGGGCUACUAGAUUUUGAUUCCACCUAUCGAGAGAGACUCGGGUGUAGCCUUCUGAAGCAUAGCUAUGAUUAUUCUGGAAGAGAAAACAAAUUAGGUGCGAUUACCGAUCCCUCCACUAGUAUAAGUAGCGGCGCCUCUGUCGCCUGCAAGUUGCAAGAACCAACCGAGAAGGAAAAUGGCGGGCACAAGAGCAGCAGCGAUGAAGCUGGCGGUCGUCCUCCUGGCCAUGAGCCAGCUCGUCCACAUGGCGACCCCGACGGCGGAUCCAAUGACUACUGCGUCAUCGUCUCUACUGGUUACGAGCGUCUCCGGCCCUUCCGACGGUCAGUCAUCUCCUUAUAAGUAGAUACUACAUUACUUAGCUUGGUUAAUUAGCUGCUAUUGAUAAGAGGUGCAAGAAACUUAAUCUUCAUCUUGGCCAGGGGAACAUAAACCCAGCCAUGGCAUCAGGGAAGAGAAGGUGUUGCUCAACGCGCCCAACAUCCCUGCAGUUCCGCCCCCUCCCCACCUCGUCCUACCGUGCAAGGGAAGAGCGUGUUGACCUCACGGGGAGGAUGACGAGAUCAAAUGCACGCAGAUGGACUCAAGUGUGCCAAGACAAUAAAAAGCCACGUUGUUCUACAUAAGUCGUGUACUCCAUGUUUACGAUCGACCGAUGGAAUAAAUAAACGGAACCUUGUUUUGGAACAAGUUUUAAUAUGUGUGCAAAUAUGUAGAUGACAUGAAGUAACUCAUAUAUUGCCUCGCCUGGAAAAGGUGGUCAAAGUG
rnacentral:lncRNA from 1 species